rnacentral:tRNA from 1 species
GCGGGUGUAGCUCAGUGGUAGAGUACCGGCUUCCCAAGCCGUGGGUCGCGAGUUCGAAUCUCGUCACCCGCUCCA